ACGAACGCUGGCGGCGUGCUUAACACAUGCAAGUCGAACGGAAAGGCCCUGCUUUUGUGGGGUGCUCGCGUGGCGAACGGGUGAGUAACACGUGAGUAACCUGCCCUUGACUUUGGGAUAACUUCAGGAAACUGGGGCUAAUACCGGAUAGGAGCUCCUGCUGCAUGGUGGGGGUUGGAAAGUUUCGGCGGUUGGGGAUGGACUCGCGGCUUAUCAGCUUGUUGGUGGGGUAGUGGCUUACCAAGGCUUUGACGGGUAGCCGGCCUGAGAGGGUGACCGGCCACAUUGGGACUGAGAUACGGCCCAGACUCCUACGGGAGGCAGCAGUGGGGAAUAUUGCACAAUGGGCGGAAGCCUGAUGCAGCAACGCCGCGUGCGGGAUGACGGCCUUCGGGUUGUAAACCGCUUUCGCCUGUGACGAAGCGUGAGUGACGGUAAUGGGUAAAGAAGCACCGGCUAACUACG
rnacentral:rRNA from 1 species